GUCACCGCGGCGGAUGCGGCUGGUGCCCUGCUUGUACACGGAGAUGAUGUUCACCGUGAACUUCCACCAGUCCCCCGCCUUGUCCGCCUUCAGGAUGUGGAUCUGGACGGCUGCAAGGAAGCACAGGUGUGGAGUGGGGCCCAGAAAGGCACACUUCUGACAAACUCCAGAUGGUGCUGAUCCAGGGAACACAGUUUGAGAAUCAGUGCCCUAGUGAAUGUCAACAGAUGCUAUUUCUUCAGGAUAUAAGCUGUUCCUGGGCAUCCUGAACUUUGCACUCCAGUCUGAGGGCUCCAAAGAAUGGCUGCCAUGGCAACCGUUUCCAUGUUUUCGUCACCAAGGGACUCAACACUCAGUGUGAACUCGGAGGAGGGGGUGGGGAGCCCUCCAGCCUGGAGCAGUGGCUGGGCUGUGUGUGUUUGACUGUGCAGACAGAGGUCACCGUGGCAACUGAGUGCCCCUCAGCUAAGCAAAGGAGGGGAGCCUCCCCCAGCAUCCCCGGGAGCCCCAGCUUCCUCUCCUCAGGACUGAGCUGAAUGCAGAAUGAGCCUCCCCCAGGGUGCAGCUGCCGCCUGUGCGGGACCUCAGACCCCUGGCCCAGUCGCGGUGUCCCGCCCUGCAGCCAGGGUGGGCUGUGGCGGCCCAACAAGGAUGAUGCCGAAGGCACCCCGGAGAAGGUGGCUUUGCUCAUCUACUGGUGUUACGAGCUGAACUGAGUAUCACUCCCUGCCAGUAAAUUAAUACACUGAAGUCCUAACCCCCAGUAGCUCAGAACGUGGCAGUGUUUGGAGAUAAGGUCUUUAAGAGGUAGUUAAGAGGAAGUUCGAAGGGUGGGCCCCAACCCAAUGUGACCGGUGUCCUCAGAAGACGAGGACACAGAGAUCAGGACACAGAAACGCACGGAGGGAAGACCACAUGGAGACAGAACAAGACAACCGCCUCCAGGUGAGGGAGAGAGCCUCGGGUAACCACUCCCGACAACCCCUUGAGCUGGCACUUCCAACCGGCGAGACUGGGAGAAAGCAAAUUCCUGUUGUUUGAGCCCCUCAGUGGUACUUGGUUCUGGCAGGGCCGGCAAACUCAUAACCACUGGAAUUGAAGAUUCAGGAUCCGGGGCCUCAGCUCAUGGCCAGGUGGGAGGGGAGGGCUGGAUGGCCCUCCAGGCCCCAGGGGCCCAUCUCUCCGCGGACCUGCAGGGAUGACGCCUGGAGACCCCUGCCCCACCUUCCCUGGUCUGCACCCCCUCUCUCCGGGGCAGCCUGCUUCCCCAGCCUGGAGGGGGACCUGGCGGUGGACACAGCUCGAUGGGGACGAAGCGCUGGCCCUCGUCCUCCUCCUACCCCAGCAGCACCCUGGUAGCGGGUGGGACGGGCUGG